rnacentral:rRNA from 1 species
UCCAUAGGUUAAUGAGGCGAACCGGGGGAACUGAAACAUCUAAGUACCCCGAGGAAAAGAAAUCAACCGAGAUUCCCCCAGUAGCGGCGAGCGAACGGGGAGGAGCCCAGAGCCUGAAUCAGCAUGUGUGUUAGUGGAAGCGUCUGGAAAGGCGCGCGAUACAGGGUGACAGCCCCGUACACAAAAGCGCAUGUGCUGUGAGCUCGAUGAGUAGGGCGGGACACGUGGUAUCCUGUCUGAAUAUGGGGGGACCAUCCUCCAAGGCUAAAUACUCCUGACUGACCGAUAGUGAACCAGUACCGUGAGGGAAAGGCGAAAAGAACCCCGGCGAGGGGAGUGAAAAAGAACCUGAAACCGUGUACGUACAAGCAGUGGGAGCACAGGUUUACCUGUGUGACUGCGUACCUUUUGUAUAAUGGGUCAGCGACUUAUAUUCUGUAGCAAGGUUAACCGUAUAGGGGAGCCGGAGGGAAACCGAGUCUUAACCGGGCGUUAAGUUGCAGGGUAUAGACCCGAAACCCGGUGAUCUAGCCAUGGGCAGGUUGAAGGUUGGGUAACACUAACUGGAGGACCGAACCGACUAAUGUUGAAAAAUUAGCGGAUGACCUGUGGCUGGGGGUGAAAGGCCAAUCAAACCGGGAGAUAGCUGGUUCUCCCCGAAAGCUAUUUAGGUAGCGCCUCGUGAAUUCAUCUCCGGGGGUAGAGCACUGUUUCGGCUAGGGGGCCAUCCCGGCUUACCAACCCGAUGCAAACUGCGAAUACCGGAGAAUGU